AAGGAUCAUUACAGAGAGGGGCUUCGUGCUCCAGGGGGCUUCGGCCCCCGCCUCUAUACCCCGUGAUUAUUUUACCACAUUGUUGCUUUGGUGGGCCUUGGGGUCGUGCCCAUGCCGGUUCGCUGGCGAGCGCCCGCCAAAAGCCCCUUCCAAACCCUUUUUAAAUUAGUGAUGUCUGAGUGGAUUAUCAAUAAAUCAAAACUUUCAACAACGGAUCUCUUGGUUCUGGCAUCGAUGAAGAACGCAGCGAAAUGCGAUAAGUAAUGUGAAUUGCAGAAUUCAGUGAAUCAUCGAAUCUUUGAACGCACAUUGCGCCCCUCGGUAUCCCGGGGGGCAUGCCUGUUCGAGCGUCAUUGCACCUCUCAAGCGUAGCUUGGUAAUGGGUUUUCGCCCCCUGGGCGUGCCCGAAAGGUAGUGGCGGUCCGGUGUGACUUUGAGCGUAGUAAACUUCUCUCCCGCUUUGAAAGUUCCGUCCGUGGCCCGCCAGACAACCCUAAAAACCGUUUCAACGAUUGACCUCGGAUCAGGUAGGGAUACCCGCUGAACUUAA
rnacentral:rRNA from 1 species